CCGGUUCCAACAAACAAACAAGAACUGCAAGUUUUCCUAGGGUUGCUUAAUUUUUACCAUUCUUUUCUGCCUGAUAAAGCCACUGUUGCUGAACCUCUGCAUCGUCUACUAGAUAAAGAUGCUCCAUGGAAGAGGACUGACGUUCAUACUUACGCUUUCAGCACUGCUAAAAAACUGUUGUCUUCUGACAGUUUGCUUGUACACUAUGAUUUGGAGAAACCACUCAACCUCACCUGCGAUGCUUCUCCGUAUGGCAUAGGGGCUGUAUUGAGCCACACUUUGAGAAAUGGGGUUGAGGCCCCUAUUGCAUUUUAUUCACAGACUUUAUCUACUACAGAGUGGAAUUAUGCCCAAAUUGAUAAGGAGGCUUUAGCUAUUGCGUCCGGUGUAAAAAGGUUUCAUGACUAUUUGUAUGGGCGGAGUAUUACUAUUAUAACAGAUCAUAAACCUUUACUGGGUCUGUUCACCAGCAAUACUCCCACUCCUCAAAUAAUUUCACCACGCAUGCUCAAGUGGUCCCUUAUGCUGAAUGCCGAUGUUUGUGAGUUCAAGUAUCGUCCUGUCAAGGAUAUCAU